AGACAGCAAGACUCUGAAGUCAGUCUGCUAGCAGGACAGAGCCUUAUGUGUCAUAAUGUAAUCAUGGAAAUGACAUCCCAUCACCACUGCCAUAAUCUAUGAGAAGCAAGUCACAGGUCCUGCCUGAACUCAAGAGGAAGGGAUUAUAAGACUGUGAACACCCAGAGGAGGACCAUGGAGUUACCCAGAAGUCCGUCAACCACAAAGGCAAUUAAGGUCUCUACCAGAUCAUAGUGAAUGCCUGAGGCCUGAAAAACGUCAACCACGCUGCGUCAACCAUGAAGACAUUUCACAUCACUAAUAGCAUUUCUCCAUCUGAUUAAGGAAUAAACCAAACAAAAUUACAGCACAAAAGAGAGAUGACACUGGUAACCAAACCAAAUUCCAAAAAAUGAAAACUACCAAGAGAAUGCUGAGGAUGAAGUAUAAAGUAUGAUCCCUGUCAACUGCCACCGUGCAACAUUUUGACGUUUCGGAAAACAGUGCCAAAGGGACUCGGGUGGCUCAGUCAGUUGAGCAUUCGACUUCAGCUCGCGGUUCGUGAUCUCACG